GUCGCUGUGGCUGAGUGGUAAAGCGCUUGGCUUCCGAAACUAGGGUUCCUGGGAUUCGAAUCCUAGCGAAGACU
rnacentral:tRNA from 1 species